GACGAACGCUGGCUGCGUGCUUAACACAUGCAAGUCGAACGGAAAGGCCCUGCUUUUUUGGGGUACUCGAGUGGCGAAGGGGUGCGUAACACUUGAGUAACCUGCCCUUUACUUUGGGAUAACUUCAGGCAACUGGGGCUAAUACCGGUUAGUGGUUCCUUCUGCAUGGUGGGGGUUGGAAUGUUUCGGCGGUUGGGGAUGGACUCGCGGCUUAGCAGCUUGUUGGUGGGGUAGUGGCUUACCAAGGCUUUGACGGGUAGCCGGCCUGAGAGGGGGACCGGCCACAUUGGGACUGAGAUACGGCCCAGACUCCUACGGGAGGCAGCAGUGGGGAAUAUUGCACAAUGGGCGGAAGCCUGAUGCAGCAACGCCGCGUGCGGGAUGACGGCCUUCGGGUUGUAAACCGCUUUCGCCUGUGACGAAGCGUGAGUGACGGUAAUGGGUAAAGAAGCACCGGCUAACUACGUG
rnacentral:rRNA from 1 species